AAGCGAGGCUGAAGUGGUUCCCCCCCACCCCUUCAGCACCUUCCGGUGAGCUUCUUGAGAAGACCUGCGGCCCGGUUCCCUUCCUGAGGGUGCCGGGCCGCCUUCUUUU
rfam:Archangium gephyra strain DSM 2261, complete genome.